rnacentral:rRNA from 1 species
UACGUAGGUGGCAAGCGUUAUCCGGAUUUAUUGGGCGUAAAGGGAACGCAGGCGGUCUUUUAAGUCUGAUGUGAAAGCCUUCGGCUUAACCGGAGUAGUGCAUUGGAAACUGGGAGACUUGAGUGCAGAAGGGGAGAGUGGAACUCCAUGUGUAGCGGUGAAAUGCGUAGAUAUAUGGAGGAACACCGGUGGCGAAAGCGGCUCUCUGGCCUGUAACUGACACUGAGGCUCGAAAGCGUGGGGAGCAAACAGG